UACGUAGGGGGCAAGCGUUGUCCGGAUUUAUUGGGCGUAAAGAGCGUGUAGGCGGCCAGGUAGGUCUGCUGUGAAAACUCGAGGCUCAACCUCGAGCUGUCGGUGGAAACCGUGUGGCUAGAGUCCGGAAGAGGAGAGUGGAAUUCCCGAUGUAGCGGUGAAAUGCGCAGAUAUCGGGAAGAACACCCGUGGCGAAGGCGGCUCUCUGGGCCGUAACUGACGCUGAGGAGCGAAAGCGUGGGGAGCGAACAGG
rnacentral:rRNA from 1 species